AAAAUUAUUAGAAGUGAAAUAGAUGAUUAGGUUACUCGUGAAACACUACAUAUUUCUUUCUUCUUCUUCCCCGACUUGAGUUUUUCGGCGAUGGGAGACGAGCAGCUGGCGAUUGUGAUGGCCGAUCGUGAAAGAGAUCGAGAACUUUGAUUCGCUUCGCUGAUUCCGGCAACAAAGACGAUGGUUAGUCGUUUUCUCAUUUCAAGAUUCAUGUGAAAUGAACAGUAGCUUUGGAUCUGGAAUUGGAUUGUGAUCUUAUGCUUUAACUAUUUUCUGCAAACUUUAAGUUUGUUCAUUAAGGGUUUGGCAUCGAAGAAGUUCAUGAAAGGCUGAUUACUGGCAGCUCUAGCGCGAUUUUUAAAUCAGAUCAUCCCGCCAUGACCUCACAAGCUUGUCUCUUCAGAAUCAGCUCACAGACAGGAAAGAGGCGUUAAAGAUUUGGUGCAAGCUGCGACUCUGUGAUCACAACUCCACACCAAGAGCUCUGAUGUCAAGCAUCUCUACAAGAAAGAAGAAUGGGUUCUUAUCAUAUAAAUAUGUGCAAUGGAGAAAAUACAACACGUUUGGAUGGUCAACUCUAUGAAUCUGAUAAUCAUAUAAAUUUCAAGCUUCUUAAUUCUUUUAGUGUGAUGGAAUG
rnacentral:sRNA from 1 species